UACGAAGGGGGCUAGCGUUGAUCGGAAUCACUGGGCGUAAAGGGUGCGUAGGCGGGUCUUUAAGUCAGGGGUGAAAUCCUGGAGCUCAACUCCAGAACUGCCUUUGAUACUGAAGAUCUUGAGUCCGGGAGAGGUGAGUGGAACUGCGAGUGUAGAGGUGAAAUUCGUAGAUAUUCGCAAGAACACCAGUGGCGAAGGCGGCUCACUGGCCCGGUACUGACGCUGAGGCACGAAAGCGUGGGGAGCAAACAGG
rnacentral:rRNA from 1 species